rnacentral:rRNA from 1 species
AUGCUCUGCGGAGACUUCAACUUGAUCUACCGAGACGAAGACAAGAACAACGGGAAUAUUAACAGACGCAUGAUGGGGCGCUUCCGUCGUGUUAUCAACGACCUCACGCUUAAGGAGGUUUACCUCAACGGUCGACGAUACACAUGGUCAAAUGAGCAGACCCCGCCCAUGUUGGUUCACCUCGACAGAGUCCUUUGCACCGCGGAUUGGGAGGAGCGGCACGGCGAGUGCCACCUGCGCUGCCUUGCCUCGGUUGUUUCCGAUCACAGCCCGCUCAUGCUGGACUGCUCGCCCUCGCCCCCGGUGCACCGGCGCUUCCAAUUCGAGGAAUACUGGACGUGCAUUGCCGGCUUCCAAGACGUGGUUGCAGCUGCUUGGUUUUCGGUGGACGACCCGAGCCCGUUCCGCCGCAUAAUGCGGCGCAUGAAGGCCACCGCACGCAGACUCACGAGCUGGAGCGCUCGCGCCGUGGGCAACAUCCGCGACCAGCUCGCGAUCUCGCGCGAGCUGCUCCUGCGUCUUGACUCGGCCCAGGAGCUUCGUCAGCUCACGCCCCACGAGGACUGGCUCCGCCGACAGAUCAAGCUGUCAUACCUUGGCCUCGCUUCGCUCGAGCGAACCCUGGCUCGACAACGCGCGCGCAUCUCUUCUCUCAAAGACGGGGACGCCAACACAUCCUUCUUCCAUCGCCAGUGCACUUAUCGCAAGCAAAAGAACAGGAUCCACUCCCUGUCGGUUGACGGCGUCGUGCUCACCGACCAGACUGACAUGGCUGCGGCGGCCUUCGCGCAUUACGAUUCUCUGCUCGGGACCGAUCGACCUCGAGAUUGCGCCCUUGACCUGCAGCAUCUCAUCGAGCCGGCCGCCCUUGACGACCUGGAGGCCCCAUUCACUGAAGACGAGAUUUGGCAAGCCAUCAAACGCCUGCCGGCGCGCAAGGCGCCCGGCCCGGACGGCUUUACCGCGGAGUUCCUUCGAUCCUGCUGGCCCGUCGUCAAGCACGACUUCGUCUGCGCCUUCCAGCAGCUUCAUUCGCUCCGUGGACGAGGAUUCAGUUAUCUGAACCAAGCGCUGCUCACACUCAUCCCAAAGCGCGCCGACGCUGCCAGCCUGUUCGACUACAGGCCCAUCAGCCUCAUCCACCUCGUCGCCAAGAUCUUCGCGAAGGUGCUGUCUCUCCGCCUCGCGCCCAAGCUCAAUGACUUGAUCAGUCCCAUCCAGAACGCCUUCAUCCCCGGACGCAGCCUCCACGACAACUUCUUGAUCGUGCGACAGUCGGCGCGCCUCCUCCACCAGCUGGGAGCUCCGCGCAUCCUCCUCAAGCUUGAUCUCACCCGCGCCUUUGACUCCGUCUCAUGGCCCUUCCUCUUCGAGGCCCUGCGUCGAUAUGGGUUCGGUGAUCGCUUCCUUGGCUGGAUUGCCAUCCUGCUCUCGUCGGCCAGCACCCGAGUCCUCCUAAAUGGCGCGCCUGGCCCGGCGAUCUCGCAUCGAUGUGGACUCCGCCAGGGCGACCCGGUGUCACCGCAGCUCUUUGUGCUUGCUGUCGACACGUUGGGGCGCUUGUUUCGCCGGGCUGCUGAGCUCAACAUCCUGCAACAGCUGCACCCCCGUCGUGCGAUCCCCAUCAUCUCGCUUUAUGCCGACGACGUCAUCCUCUUCUGCCACCCCUCACCUAGCGACACGUUGGCGGUCAGAGAGAUUCUGCAGCUUUUUGGCAGAGCUUCAGGCCUGCGGGUAAAUUUUCAGAAGAGCACGGCCACGAUGAUUCGUUGCGUAGCCGAGGAGGUCGCUCCGGCCAUCGCGACGCUGGGAUGCCCCAUCGCGCAGUUCCCCAUUACCUACCUGGGUAUCCCCCUCACCUUGCGACGCCCGACUGCUGCCCAACUGCAACCCGUCGUCGACAAGACUGCCGGGAAGCUGCCCACUUGGAAGGCGCACCUCAUGAACAAGGCUGGACGCCUCGCCUUUGUCAAAUCCGUGCUCUGUGCAAUUCCCCUGCAUCAACUCCUUGUGCUCGCGCCGCCGAAGAAAGUCCUCAAACUCCUUGAGAAGAUCCAGAGAGGCUUCCUCUGGGCUGGCCGCACCGAGGCUCAAAAUGGCAACUGCCACGUGCACUGGCGCCGCGUCUGUCGCCCCACACACCUAGGCGGCCUCGGCAUUCAUGACCUGGAGCGCACGGGCCUUGCCUUGCGCACCAGAUGGCUCUGGUUCGCGCGCACAGACGGAAACAGGGCCUGGGCUGGCCUCGAUCUGCAGUUCUCCAGUGAGGAACGUGCAUUCUUCUUUGCGUCCACCUCCAUGGUCCUUGGCGAUGGUCGGCGAGCAUUGUUCUGGGAAGACCGAUGGAUCAACGGGCAAUCCAUCUCUGAGAUCGCCCCCCAGCUAUAUGCCCUCAUCCCCAAGCGCCGCCGCAAAAUAAGAACAGUGGCCGAUGGCCUCCAGGCGCACACAUGGGCAUCAGACAUCCAUGGCGCCCUUGGCAUCCAAGAGAUUGGCCAAUACUUGCUAACCUGGAGGGCCAUUGAGAAUAUCACUCUCUCUGGUGAUCCAGACCAGCUCCAUUGGAAGUGGAAUGCUGCUGGCACAUACACCGCCCAGUCCGCGUACCUAGCCACCUUCCAUGGCUCUACUUCCUGCCCGGCAUGGAAACUUAAUUGGAAAGGCUGGGCCCCCCCGCGAGUGAAGUUCUUCCACUGGCUCGCUAGCUUGGGACGCUGCUGGACAGCUGAUCGUCUCGCUCGCCGCGGACUGCCGCACCCUCCUCGCUGCCCGCUAUGUGAUCAGAUGCCGGAAUCGAUGAACCACCUGAUCAUGGAUUGCCCCUUCACCAAGCAGAUUUGGCACGACAUCCUGUCUUGGCUGCACCUCCCUUGCAGUGCGCCUAAUGGUGAAAACUCCCUGUCGACCUGGUGGCACACGGCGCGCCAGACCACACCCAAGCUGAUGCACAAAGGACUAACAUCCGCGACGCUGCUGAUCCCUUGGAUGACCUGGAAGCAUUGCAACGAUUGUGUCUUCAAUGCAGCCACCCCUUCGACUAGCGUCUUGGUUGCAAAGAUCAAAGAAGAAGCUGCGCUCUGGGCGACCGCGGGUGCUCGAGGCCUGCGUGUCAUCCUCCCACAGACCUGGGAUGUACACUGA